GUGAACGCUGGCGGUAGGCCUAACACAUGCAAGUCGAACGGCAGCACCGUAAGAGCUUGCUCUUACGGGUGGCGAGUGGCGGACGGGUGAGGAAUACAUCGGAAUCUACUUUUUCGUGGGGGAUAACGUAGGGAAACUUACGCUAAUACCGCAUACGACCUACGGGUGAAAGCAGGGGAUCUUCGGACCUUGCGCGAUUGAAUGAGCCGAUGUCGAAUUAGCUAGUUGGCGGGGUAAAGGCCCACCAAGGCGACGAUCCGUAGCUGGUCUGAGAGGAUGAUCAGCCACACUGGAACUGAGACACGGUCCAGACUCCUACGGGAGGCAGCAGUGGGGAAUAUUGGACAAUGGGCGCAAGCCUGAUCCAGCCAUACCGCGUGGGUGAAGAAGGCCUUCGGGUUGUAAAGCCCCUUUGUUGGGAAAGAAAAGCAGCAGGUUAAUACCCCGCUGUUCUGACGGUACCCAAAGAAUAAGCACCGGCUAACUUCGUG
rnacentral:rRNA from 1 species